CAUACAAAACCAUUAUACCCUGAUUUCCCAUUUUCAAUGGGUACAGGGUACAAAAAGCGUAUUUCAAAGACUUCUUCUCCAGCGCAUGCACGCAUUUCAAUGUUAUGAUCAUGAUCUAAAAGUUUCCAUCGACAAGAAAAGUUAUUAAAAAAUUAAGUUCCCAUAGUAAGCCCACGAAAAAUUAUUGAAAUAUCAAUUCUUAGAAGGGUUCAGAGGAUUUCGUAGUCGAGCAGUCUCAACUAGAGCUUUCUUACUUGCUAUUUACGUACAUAAAUGGAAGCGGACGCAUGUACAUACAUACAUAUGUAUGUAUGUCAUGUUGGCAUGCACCACGGCAUAUUGAUCAACGAGAGAGUAACUUAUGCACAACAGGCUACGUCAUGUGGCAGAUACAGGCAUACAUGUACAUACAUACAUACAUAUGUACAUGUACAUAUGUUCAUAGUUACCAGAAAAACUCGAUUCCACAAACAGACAAACUUGUCGCACAUAACCAAGAGCAAAAGUUAUCAGCAUCUCAGGCAUCACCUCAAGUAAACUCAUCAUCAUCCUCGCCAUCUACGCCAGUCUCCACAAGCGACGACAUAAUCGGCUACUAUAGCAGCUAAUGUUUAAAUUGUAUAUUUCAGUUUCGUGAAAUUCGUGGAAGUGGCUGGUCAGCUCUAUUUUUUGUUACAAAUUAAGAAAAUAUAUAAAAUUUAUACAUAUAUAUAUUCAUAUAUAGACAUAUGAAUAUACAUAUAUUUUUAAGUUUCGUUCAUUGCGCAGCGAAAAGAAAAUUCGGAACUGCAUAGAUACAUAUACUGGAAGCUACUAAUAGCAAUA